rnacentral:rRNA from 1 species
GAUGAACGCUGGCGGCGUGCCUAAUACAUGCAAGUCGAGCGAACAGACGAGGAGCUUGCUCCUCUGACGUUAACGGCGGACGGGUGAGUAACACGUGGAUACCCUACCUAUAAGACUGGGAUAACUUCGGGAACCCGGAGCUAAUACCGGAUAAUAUAUUGAACCGGAUGCUUCAAUGGUGAGAGACGCUUUUCCUGUCACUUAUAGAUGGAUUCGCGCCGCAUUAGCUAGUUGGUAAGGUAACGGCUUACCAAGGCAACGAUGCGUAGCCGACCUGAGAGGAUGAUCGGCCACACUGGAACUGAGACACGGUCCAGACUCCUACGGGAGGCAGCAGUAGGGAAUCUUCCGCAAUGGGCGAAAGCCUGACGGAGCAACGCCGCGUGAGUGAUGAAGGUCUUCGGAUCGUAAAACUCUGUUAUUAGGGAAGAAAAAAUGUGUAAGUAACUAUGCACGUCUUGACGGUACCUAAUCAGAAAGCCACGGCUAACUACGUG